rnacentral:rRNA from 1 species
CAAUAGCGUAUAUUUAAGUUGUUGCAGUUAAAAAGCUCGUAGUUGGAUUUCGGGUGGGACGCAGCGGUCUCGCAUUGCGUUUGUACUGCUGCAGCCCUCCUUCUUGCCGGGGGCGGCCUUUUGGGCUUCACUGUCUGAGGGUCAGAAUCGGCGAUGUUACUUUGAGUAAAUUAGAGUGUUCAAAGCAAGCUUACGCUCUGAAUAUAAUAGCAUGGGAUAACACGACAGGACUCUGGCCUAUCGUGUUGGUCUAUAGGACCAGAGUAAUGAUUAAGAGGGACAGUCGGGGGCAUUCGUAUUCCGUUGUCAGAGGUGAAAUUCUUGGAUUUACGGAAGACGAACAUCUGCGAAAGCAUUUGCCAAGGAUGUUUUCAUUGA